rnacentral:rRNA from 1 species
CACGUAGGGUGCGAGCGUUGUCCGGAAUUACUGGGCGUAAAGCGUGCGCAGGCGGUGAUGUAAGACAGAUGUGAAAUCCCCGGGCUCAACCUGGGAACUGCAUUUGUGACUGCAUCGCUGGAGUGCGGCAGAGGGGGAUGGAAUUCCGCGUGUAGCAGUGAAAUGCGUAGAUAUGCGGAGGAACACCGAUGGCGAAGGCAAUCCCCUGGGCCUGCACUGACGCUCAUGCACGAAAGCGUGGGGAGCAAACAGG